CCUACGGGAGGCAGCAGUGGGGAAUAUUGCACAAUGGGGGAAACCCUGAUGCAGCGACGCCGCGUGGGUGAAGAAGUAUUUCGGUAUGUAAACCCCUAUCAGCAGGGAAGAAGAUGACAGUACCUGACUAAGAAGCCCCGGCUAACUACGUGCCAGCAGCCGCGGUAAUACGUAGGGGGCAAGCGUUAUCCGGAUUUACUGGGUGUAAAGGGAGCGUAGGUGGGAUGGCAAGCCAGAAGUGAAACCCCGGGGGUUAACCCCGGGGAUUGCGUUUGGAACGGUCGGGCUGGAGUGCAGGAGGGGCAGGUGGAAUUCCUGGUGUAGCGGUGAAAUGCGGAGAUAUCAGGAGGAACACCAGUGGCGAAGGCGGCCUGCUGGACUGUAAAUGACGCUGAGGCACGAAGGCGAGGGGAGCGAAAAGGAGUAGAUACCCGGGUAGUC
rnacentral:rRNA from 1 species